UACAGAGGUCUCAAGCGUUGUUCGGAUUCAUUGGGCGUAAAGGGUGCGUAGGCGGCGCGGUAAGUCGGGUGUGAAAUCUCGGAGCUUAACUCCGAAACUGCAUUCGAUACUGCCGUGCUUGAGGACUGGAGAGGAGACUGGAAUUUACGGUGUAGCGGUGAAAUGCGUAGAUAUCGUAAGGAAGACCAGUGGCGAAGGCGGGUCUCGUGGACGAGUCCUGACGCUGAGGCACGAAGGUCAGGGGAGCAAACGGG
rnacentral:rRNA from 1 species